AGAGUUUGAUCAUGGCUCAGGACGAACGCUGGCGGCGUGCUUAACACAUGCAAGUCGAGCGGAAAGGCCCUUCGGGGUGCUCGAGCGGCGAACGGGUGAGUAACACGUGAGCAACCUGCCCCUGGCUCUGGGAUAGCUCCGGGAAACCGGGAUUAAUACUGGACAUGACCUCCUGCUGCAUGGCGGGGGGUGGAAAGUUU
rnacentral:rRNA from 1 species